rnacentral:rRNA from 1 species
GUCCUACGGGACGCAGCAGUAGGGAAUCUUCCACAAUGGGCGAAAGCCUGAUGGAGCAACGCCGCGAGGGUGAACAAGGUCUUCGGAUCGUAAAACCCUGUUGUUAGAGAAGAAAGUGCGUGAGAGUAACUGUUCACGUUUCGACGGUAUCUAACCAGAAAGCCACGGCUAACUACGUGCCAGCAGCCGCGGUAAUACGUAGGUGGCAAGCGUUAUCCGGAUUUAUUGGGCGUAAAGGGAACGCAGGCGGACUUUUAAGUCUGAUUUGAAAGCCUUCGGCUUAACCGGAUUAGGGCAUUGGAAAC